CAGCAUUAAUCCAAUUAAUGGCAGCUACAGCAGCUAAGAGGGAUGUAUGCUAUUAUACUUUUGAUGAUGAAAGACUAAAGAAUGAUAUAUUCAAUAUACACCAAUAUCUUACUGUCACAAAUCCUUUAGGUAUAGGUACCAUUUUGAAUUUGAUAGAAAGGUAUGAAGGAGUGUUAAGAAAGUCACGGAGGAAACCAAAUAUGAACUUAUUUGAAUAUAUUGUCAAAGUUUUUGAUGGAUCUCUAGAAAACACUGAUAGUGAACCUGACUCUCCUGCUAUUGAAAGAGAAAUGUCACGGGAAAUGUUGUACAGUAAGGAAUCUUGCAUGGGUGAAGAAGCUGUUUCAAAGAACUCAGUGAAGCGACAGUUAUCUGAAGAUUACAAAGCUACCACACCUUAGGUAAAGGAAAAAGAAGACAUAUAUGAACAAAUCAUUAGGCUUCUAAGUUUGCAACAUAUGAGCUGCUUGAAUAUAUUAUAAAACUAUUUUGACAUUCAGUUUGGGAUACUCGAAAGAAAAGCUGCACAUAAGAGAUGAUGCUUUGGUAUUAAAAUUGUUCAAAGGAAACAAUAUAAGAAACUGGAGAAGUUUUUAGAAAUCCCUUACAAUCUGAUGUUCUGUCAUGUCAUUUCUUAUAAUUCUAAUCAAGACAAAAACUUUUUUAAUUAGUUAUGCCCCCUCCGUAGCGGAGGGGGCAUUAAGUUUUACCCUUGACCGUCUGUACAUCCUUUCGUCCCAAAAUUGGUUUCCGUUCACUAACUUUAGUUUGCCUCAAUCAAAUGUUAUGAAACUUAUCCACAAUGCUUAUUACCACAAAAGACAGAUCGAGUAUGCAUUUUGGUGGCAUCACUUUUACCGUUCGAGAGUUAUGCCCCUUUACAAAUGGAAAAAUUGCUGAAUUUUUCCUUUCCCUUCUCUAACUUUAGUUUGCCUCAACCAAAUGUUAUGAAACUUAUCCACAAUGUUUAUUACCACAAAAAACAGAUCAAGUUUGAAUUUUGGUGGUGUCACUUUCACCGUUCUAAAGUUAUGCCCCUUUACAAAUGGAAAAAUCGCUGAAUUUUUCUUUUCUGUUCUCUAAUUUAAGUUUACGUCAACUAAAUGUUAUGAAACUUAUAAACAAUGCUAAUUACCACAAAACUCAGAUCAAGUUCAAAUUUGGGUAGUGUCACUUUUACGGUUCUUGAGUUAUGGCCCUUUAUAACGUUAUAUGCAAGCGGGGGCAUCAUCUGUGUCCCAUGGACACAUUCCCCAUUUAUUGUUGAAUUAUUUAGUCAAGAAAUUUUAUGAUGAUUAUCUAACAAAGCUGAAAAAUGAUAUUAUGUUAGAUUGGUUCAUGGUUUUUAUUGAUAUAAACUUAAAAGAUGGAAAACAAUUGAACAAGAAUGUUCUUUGAUCCUAUUGUAGAAGUAAAGACUAAUUUUCAUGUUAAGUUAAUGUCUUUUUUCCAUCCUUGUCAACUGAUAAAUUUAUUGUCAAGUUCAUUUAUGUAUGAACACUCUUUGUUAUUAGGUUACAUAUAGACUAUUUAACUGGUUCAUAGAUACUUGAUUUUAAUCAACAUAGUGGAUUGGAUAAAUAAAAGGAUUUUGUCUUUGCAUCAGUCUAUCUGCUUUCUUUUUGUUUAUGUGAGAAGUUAAGUGAAAAUGAUUUGAUUCAAUUUUUUAAAACUACUCUUUAUCUCUUCAUAUUGGUUUAAUCUGGUUCUAGAACUUUGGUGUUGUUGGAGCAUUCCAGAAAUAUCUAUAGAUAUUGUAUGAGGCAGGGGCCAGUGUUAAGAUUAUUUUCAGUCAUUACGAUCAGUAAUUCUUAUGUAAUUUUCUUGCAAUGAAAUAAUGCAAUAUAUUAUAUAAAAAAAACCAUUUGAUAAGUACUGCUAUGUUUGCUUGUAACUGAUCAUCUCUUUAUUUAAUUUUGAUAUGGCAGCUAUUAACUUACUAUCAGUUUAUAUAAUUGAUAACUAUCUUUUUUUGUUAUAAGUGGUACUAGUUAUCUAUUUGCAAUUUGAAUGGAGAAGAUAUGGUAUGAUUUGGGGCUUUUUUGCACUGUUAAUUUCACUGAAAAUAAAACAUAUGAGAUCAUUACUUAUCACAUUUUUGAAGAAGAAAGACUUUAAAAAAAAUUGAAUAUAUACCAAGCCUUUGAUGACACAAUUUGCCUGUGACAUCAUAAAAGUGACUUUAUAAGUAAAAUUUUCAGUUUUUUGCAAAAAAUACAAACAAAAUUUUACAAACAUUUUGGCUAAAUUAAUAUAAAACAUAUGGUUAAGUAUUGUGAAAAUAUGUGUAUAAAUGUGCCUUCUACAGUUCCCCAUAUGAUAGAAUAUGAAGCAUUCUUGGUUAUGUAUUCAAAAGCUUUCAUUAAAAUGUUGUGAUUGGCUAACAACAUCCAAAUCAAUGGAUAUUCAACCAAUGAUGUGAUGUUAUUUUUAUUUCGGUGCACUUACAAUGAGAUUACCCAUAAUCCUUUAGAUUCUGAAAAGACAUAUUUGAUGAUGGAAAAGUAAAAUUGUCAGAUCUGAUGAAUGUUUAAAAAAAAUACCAUAGACUGAAUUCCCCUUUUCAAUUUGAAGAGUUUUAUAAAUGAGCUUUAUAUGGCAAUGAAAAUUUUUCAUUUUUUGAAAUGAAUAAUUUUAAAACAACAUUAAAAAUGACUUGAUGACAAACUGUUUUAUAAUUUUAAUUGUAAAUAUUUAUUUGUAGAUAAUAUUUUUGUUUGUAAUUUUAAUUUAUUAUACUACACUGUAGAAGGUCAGUGCUGUGAAAAUGUUGAUAUGGUUGUGUCAAGAAACUUAUUGGUUAUCAUGAUCAAGAUAUAUAUAUUAAGAUAAGUUUUCUUACUGUAUUAGUGUGCAUAAAAUGUUAUUCAUGAUGAAAUGAAUGAAAAGAAAUGUCAUUAUUUUAUAUUCUAUAAAAGGUUUUUUUAUUUGUGGAUGCCAAGUUUCAUAGUUUAUUGAACAUCACUAUUGUUUCAUUGGUUCCUUGUCAAAUUGACAUAAAAUACUUCAAUAGUCCCUGUUUUGUGGAAAAUUUGAUCAACUAAGAAAAUAAUUAAGAUGGGUUCCCUAGGAAUAGGAUAUAAUAUGUCCCACUGUAAUUAUUGUGUCUCAUGACAGUUGAUGUUUAGGGAUACAGAGGAAUAAAUCAAAGUGCUUUGUCUUAGUGUCUGUCCUGUCUGUCUGUAAUUACUUCUGCUGUCUCGCAUCAUCUUUGUCUUCCGUGUCACACUGUUAGUUUUUCUGCAUCUCUGUAACAGAAUUCCACUAAACAUGCAUAGAUUUGUGUAAUUAAGUAUUGAAUCCUUUGUAUGUUUUUAUAUCUAUGGGAUAUUGUUAAGGUAGUUUGAGAGUCUUCCGCCAUCUUGGAUUGUAAAAUAGAAGAACACAAUCGGUUUAGAUCUUUAAUUAAAAGUGCAAAUUUUGUGAGACGAAUGCAAUUCUUUUGUUAGUCUUUUCAUCUUAAUGAAAAAAAAUAUGUGUUUUAUUAUAUUUUCUCAACAGUUUUUUACAAAUACAAAGUAUUUUUUGUUUUUGAUUCAAUUUGUUACAACUUUGUCAUAUAAGGGGAGAUAACUCUGAUAAUGUACUUUUUAUAAAGUAAUAUAUUAUGAAUUUAGGUAUUUUGUUUUGUAUCGAGAAAAACAAGUGCCAUGACCCCAAUUUUUAUUUUUAUUUUCUGAAAGCACAUUAUAAGAGCUAUCUUCUCAUAAAUUUAAUUUAAAAAUUUGAUUGUUUAGUUUUCUUUUUAUCGCAAAAGAUUAGGUUUUCCAUGUAUAAUCUAUACAAAAUCUGACAAUUUUGCACAACCUGUAGCUUGAUAAAAAGCCCUGUGACCCAUACUUUUUAUUUUGUUUUUGAAAAAAGAUUACUUCAAACUGCAUUUUUACACAUAAUUAGAAAAUUCUAUCGAUUUUAAUUUAUACCCCCAUCUACCUUAAGAGUAUAUUUAAUCUAAUUUUUAGUAUUGACUGAGAUAUAAUAAGUAGUAUGUAUGCACUAAGGUGUAAAUUAAUUCAUUUGAAUGAAAGAUGUACAAUCAACACUUGUAAGUUUUUUCAAAGAAAUGCAAUACAGACAUAUGUAAUAGUGCUAACUCUUACAAUAAAUCAACCUGUUCAAUGA